GCACCCAGACCGGCAGGCUGAGCAGGCUCUGUGUGGGUGAGACAGCAGAACCGGUGGGGUAGUCAGCAGAAAGAUCUGGACACCCCAGCCUAGAUGUCCCGUCCCCGAGCCCUGACAUCAGCCCUCCUCUCUUUACUAAUGCAUGAUGCCUGAUAACAGAAAUGCGUUGUUUAAAAGAAUAAGAAAACUCAGCAUGCUGAAGGUAACACUUCACAAGCUCUGCUCCUGGGUCCAAGGUCAGGAGAGGGACCAGGGGCUUGAGAAGAGUCCAUUUGGAAAAGACUUAAAGUUCUCCAGAAACAGCAGUAAUGGUGAUGACAACUAACAUGACCCGGCGGUGACUUUACCAGAACCGGGCUCUUGCUGCUCCUGCUGCAGGGGGAGAAUGAGGCAGAGGGAUGACCUGGAAGAGGAGCCAAGCUCUUCACACGUUCCAUUAAACAAGUAUGGAUGGAAUCUUUUUUGGAUAAGUGCAAAGAAAUGCCUGAAGUGACCUCUCACUUAUGGAGACCUGAUUUUUGAUAACCUCCACAUCCCACAGCCUGUGAAUAAACCAAAAAAAGAGAAAAGCCGUAUUCCUCCCACAGAUGAGGAAACUGGAGCUUGGAGGGAAUGAAUUGCUGGACGUCACAGAGAUGAGCUGGGACUUGAGUUUCAUGCUUCUCAUUCCAGAGGGUGCCCUAGCUUCGCCUCCAUCACAUGGCCUGGGACACUGGAACCUGAUGAGAACCCAGGAGAAGGGACCUUGGGCUGGCCAGGUACUUUCCCUUUGCCCAUGCAGUGCUGCUGGUGGCAACAGCUUCCAUGUCAUACAGGAGGGAACGGAGGCUCGGAACUGCCAAAGCUCCACACGGAUACACCCUUGUAGAGAGACUCCCCCCAUGGAAGGGUCACCUCAACCACUUUCUGCUGGUUCCCUUGCAGACAUUUCAAACUUUGUCACCUAUUCAAAGAUGGCUUUCUACGGACUACAUGAGCAACCAACAAGCUAACCCAUUGGGUGCCAUGAAAAAACAUGAAGCAACAGCCACAUAGGAGAGGGGAUUCCGCACUUGGAGAUGCUGGUCCUACCUGACGGAUGAAGACCCCUGGUGGGAGGUCACCUGGCUCCCAUCUGUCGAGGGCUGUCAGUCCUACACCUGUCCUCUCACAGGCUAAGCCAAUCUGCAAGCCCAUUUGAAUGAAGGUGUCAUGUGGUGAACCACUGUUUUACAUGCC
rnacentral:lncRNA from 10 species